GACGAACGCUGGCGGCGUGCCUAAUACAUGCAAGUCGAACGCAGAGGGGACGGGUGAGUAACACGUGGGUAACCUCCCAUCAGAGGGGAUACAACUUGGAAACAGGUGCUCAAACGAUACUGAUGGAUGGACCCGCGGUGCAUUGGCUAGGUGGGGAGGUAACGGCUCACCAAGGCCACGAUGCAUAGCCGACCUAAGAGCGUGAUCGGCCACACGGGGACUGAGACACGGCCCAGCGUCCUACGGGAGGCAGCAGUAGGGAAUCUUCGGCAAUGGACGAAAGUCUGACCGAGCAACGCCGCGUGAGUGAAGAAGGUUUUCGGAUCGUAAAACUCUGUUGUUAGAGAAGCGGUAUCUAACCAGAAAGCCACGGCUAACUACGUGCCAGCAGCCGCGGUAAUAC
rnacentral:rRNA from 1 species